rnacentral:rRNA from 1 species
UACGUAGGGUGCAAGCGUUAAUCGGAAUUACUGGGCGUAAAGGGUGCGUAGGCGGUUUGUUAAGUCUGUUGUGAAAUCCCCGGGCUCAACCUGGGAAUGGCAAUGGAUACUGGCAAGCUAGAGUGUGUCAGAGGAUGGUGGAAUUUCCGGUGUAGCGGUGAAAUGCGUAGAGAUCGGCAGGAACAUCAGUGGCGAAGGCGGCCAUCUGGGUCAACACUGUCGCUGAGGCACGAAAGCGUGGGGAGCAAUCAGG